rnacentral:tRNA from 1 species
GCGCCGGUAGCUCAGCUGGAUAGAGCAACAGCCUUCUAAGCUGUGGGCCAAAGGUUCGAGUCCUUUUCGGCGUACUA